rnacentral:rRNA from 1 species
GGGUAACGGGGAAUAAGGGUUCGAUUCCGGAGAGAGGGCCUGAGAAACGGCCCUCAUGUCUAAGGAUAGCAGCAGGCGCGCAAAUUACCCAAUCCCAAUUCGGGGAGGUAGUGACAAUAAAUAACAAUAUAGGGCCCUAUGGGUCUUAUAAUUGGAAUGAGUACAAUUUAAACCCCUUAACGAGGAUCAAUUGGAGGGCAAGUCUGGUGCCAGCAGCCGCGGUAAUUCCAGCUCCAAUAGCGUAUAUUAAAGUUGUUGCAGUUAAAAAGCUCGUAGUUGAAUUUCAGGCCUGGCUGGACGGUCCGCCCUUCGGGUGAGUACUGUCUGUGGUCGGGUCCUACCUUCUGGCGAAGCGUCAUGGCCUUAACCGGCCGUGGCGGGGAACCAGGACUUUUACUGUGAAAAAAUUAGAGUGUUCAAAGCAGGCAAUCGCUUGGAUACAUUAGCAUGGAAUAAUGGAAUAGGACAAUGGUUCUAUUUGUUGGUUUCUAGGACCGUUGUAAUGAUUAAUAGGGAUAGUUGGGGGCAUUAGUAUUCAAUUGUCAGAGGUGAAAUUCUUGGAUUUAUUGAAGACUAACUACUGCGAAAGCAUUUGCCAAGGAUGUUUUCAUUAAUCAAGAACGAAAGUUAGGGGAUCGAAGACGAUCAGAUACC